ACCAGACUCCUACGGGAGGCAGCAGUGGGGGAUAUUGCACAAUGGGGGGAACCCUGAUGCAGCGACGCCGCGUGGGUGAAGGAGCGGUUCGGCGCGUAAAGCCCUCUCGGCAGGGAAGAAGGAGGACGGUACCUGACUAAGAAGCCCCGGCUAACUACGUGCCAGCAGCCGCGGUAAUACGUAGGGGGCAAGCGUUAUCCGGAUUUACUGGGUGUAAAGGGGGCGCAGACGGCAGCGCAAGCCAGGAGUGAAAGCCCGGGGCCCAACCCCGGGACUGCUCUUGGAACUGCGCGGCUGGAGUGCAGGAGGGGCAGGCGGAAUUCCUGGUGUAGCGGUGAAAUGCGUAGAUAUCAGGAGGAACACCGGUGGCGAAGGCGGCCUGCUGGACUGCGACUGACGUUGAGGCCCGAAAGCGUGGGGAGCAAACAGGAUUAGAUACCCUCGUAC
rnacentral:rRNA from 1 species